UACGUAGGGUGCGAGCGUUAAUCGGAAUUACUGGGCGUAAAGCGUGCGCAGGCGGUUCGUUGUGUCGGUGGUGAAAUCCCCGGGCUUAACCUGGGAAUGGCCAUGGAAACUGGCGAACUGGAGUGCGGCAGAGGGGGGUGGAAUUCCGCGUGUAGCAGUGAAAUGCGUAGAGAUGCGGAGGAACACCGAUAGCGAAGGCAGCCCCCUGGGCUAGCACUGACGCUCAGGCACGAAAGCGUGGGGAGCAAACAGG
rnacentral:rRNA from 1 species